CCAAAGCUGAGUGGAGAAAUCUUGCGGGGUGUCCUCCUUGCUGUGGCAUUGCAGGACAUGAAGAGGCUGCAGGCACACCGGCUGCGCAAACGGGACCGCCACUGAGCCACUCGCCGUAGUCAUUGAGGAGGGAGGACAAAAGUCAAGGAGGGAUCCGAUUGCGCCCUCUUGCGAGGAGUCAGUCGCAAAUCGUCAUCCAUCAGCACCGGGGCCGGCUUCCUUUUUGCGGGGAUCGAAACCUCCCGAACGAGAAGUGUGCCGACAGCGUCAAUGACAAGUCUGACCAUUUCCAUGAAAACGGGCAACAGCCUUUCACUCAACAGCAUGGCUUGACGAAUAAGGCAAAGUUCAAAUGUACUUCAAUUUACAUUGGUCUUGUUCGACACGUCCUCCUCGGGUUCCGUGAGGGAUCGCAGAUGCUCCCUGGCCAUGAUUUCUACCUGGCGGUCACACAAUAAAAGACAUGAGGUGGCA